rnacentral:rRNA from 1 species
AUUGAGCGCUGGCGGCAUGCCUUACACAUGCAAGUCGAACGGCAGCGCGGACUUCGGUCUGGCGGCGAGUGGCGAACGGGUGAGUAAUACAUCGGAACGUACCCUGUUGUGGGGGAUAACUAGUCGAAAGAUUAGCUAAUACCGCAUACGACCUGAGGGUGAAAGUGGGGGACCGCAAGGCCUCACGCAGCAGGAGCGGCCGAUGUCUGAGUAGCUAGUUGGUGGGGUAAAGGCCCACCAAGGCGACGAACAGUAGCUGGUCUGAGAGGACGAUCAGCCACACUGGGACUGAGACACGGCCCAGACUCCUACGGGAGGCAGCAGUGGGGAAUUUUGGACAAUGGGGGCAACCCUGAUCCAGCAAUGCCGCGUGUGUGAAGAAGGCCUUCGGGUUGUAAAGCACUUUUGUCCGGAAAGAAAUCGCGCUGGUUAAUACCUGGCGUGGAUGACGGUACCGGAAGAAUAAGCACCGGCUAACUACGUGCCAGCCGCCGCGGUAA